GAUCAUGGCUCGGGACGAACGCUGGCGGCGUGCUUAACACAUGCAAGUCGAACGGAAAGAGAUGAAAGAGCUUGCUCUUUUAUUAAUUUCAGUGGCAAACGGGUGAGUAACACGUAAACAACCUGCCUUAAGGAUGGGGAUAACAGACGGAAACGACUGCUAAUACCGAAUAUGUUCUAAGCAUCGCAUGGUGCAUAGAAGAAAGGGUGGCCUCUACAAGAAAGCUAUCGCCUUAAGAGGGGUUUGCG
rnacentral:rRNA from 1 species